CAGAGUCCGUAUAUAAACAUGUUUAUAUAUAUACGGACUCUGUUUCUGACUAAUUACACGACAGUCGGCACUUCUUCGUAAUUUUCUGCUUUGUGAGAUUGAAAACAUCCGCGCUUAAUACAUACGGGGUUGUCAUUGUAGUUACAAAGGCAACAAAAUGAAUAGGUCAGCGCUUCUCCUCUUGCUUGUCAUCGCACUCCUCGUCUUCAGUAAAACAGUGUCAGCUUUUAUCCUCAAAGGACGUAUUAAAUCUGGCCAUCGUUGUUGUCAUUGCUUUGAGUUAAAAUUAGACGUUGAAGAUCUUCAUCCAAAUGAAAAUAUAGUAAAAGACAAGUAAUGGAAAAAAAACUAAAUCAGGACUCACAAUUAAUUUGAAUAACUUAAUAAACUAACACGCAUACACA